GCGCAGACGGCGGAGAGCAGAGAGGGAGCGCGCCUUGGCUCGCUGGCCUUGGCUGCGGCUCCUCGGGAGAGCUGGGGCGCCCACGAGAGGAUCCCUCACCUGGGUCUCUCCUCAGGGAUGACAUCAUCCGUCCACCUCCUUGUCUUCAAGGACCACCUCCUCUCCAUGCCGAGCUGCUGCCAAGGGGCCUGCUGCCCAUCUACACCUCACGAGGGCACUAGGAGCACGGAUUCCUGGAUCCCACCAACAUACAAAGCAGCCACUCACAGACCCCCAGGACCAGGAUGGCAAAGGAUGAAGAGGACCGGAACUGACCUGCCAGCUGUCCCUCUUACCUAAAGACUUAAACCAAUGCCCUAGUGAGGGGGCAUUGGACAUUAAGCCCUGACUUUUGCUAUGCUCAUGCUUUGACUCUAUGAGUACUUUCCUAUAAGUCUUCGCUUGUGUUCACCUGCUAGCAAACUGGAGUGUUUCCCUCCCCAAGGGGGUGUCAGUCUUUGUCGACUGACUCUGUCAUCACCCUUACGAUGUCCUGAAUGGAAGGAUCCCUUUGGGAAAUUCUCAGGAGGGGGACCUGGGCCAAGGGCUUGACCAGCAUCCUGCUGGCAACUCCAAGGCCCUGGGUGGGCUUCUGGAAUGAGCAUGCUACUGAAUCACCAAAGGCAUGCCCCACCUCUCUGGAGAUCUUCCUAUCCUUUUCUGGGGAAUGGGGUCAAUGGGAGCAACCUCCUAGGGUUGUUGUGAGAAUUAAAUGAGAUAAAAGAGGCCUCAGGCAGGAUCUGGCAUAGAGGAGGUGAUCAGCAAAUGUUUGUUGAAAAGGUUUGACAGGUCAGUCCCUUCCCACCCCUCUUGCUUGUCUUACUCGUCUUAUUUAUUCUCCAACAGCACUCCAGGCAGCCCUUGUCCACGGGCUCUCCUUGCAUCAGGUAGGGGCUUUGCAGAGACCAUCGACGGGCUGACUUGAGUAAGAACACGAAUUAUGCAUGUGGUCAUUUCCAGAGCACUUUCUAUGUGAUACGAACAUGGGAUUUUUAUGUAAUAUGUGUAUGUAAACAAGGCAGCCUCAUUUCCAGGUGAGGAUGCAUUUGGUAGUAUUGAUUUUUGUAAUUUAAAAAAGCUGAAAGGGAGAGAGGACACGUGAGGACUGAACUCUCUGUCCCAUGGGGUAGGACUUAGAUUUACAUUAAAGAGACAGAAACUUGCUGGGAGGUGUAAGUAUUUGGUCACAUUGCUGGCAAGAGAAGGGGUUGGAGUUGGACCCAGGGUGCCACGCUAGCUACCCUCACCCCUUCUUCCCCUCUGGCUCAGAGUUAUACUAAAGAGUCCUUUUAUUUCAAACCAAAUGUUUGACAAUGGGACAGUCUGUUUGAAAUCCCAGCUGCCUGGGGUGGUCUUGGGGGUCUGGGUGGCCCCAGUGCUGGUACCAUGUGCUGGCUUCACCUUUUAAUAACGGUGUGACCUUAAACAAGUCGCUUAACUUCUGUAAGUUUCAGUUUCUUUCAUGGUCUAAAUGGAGAUUAAAACACUCACACACACACACACACACACACACACUCUCUCUCACACACACACCCUCGUGUAUCUACCCCACAGGGCGCUUUUGAAGACCAAAUGCUGUAACUACUAUGAAAGUGCUUUGUAAAUUGCUGUGGAAAGUGCGAGCUACUUAACCACCCGAGGCUGUCCCUCCUUGCUCACAUGUCCAGCCCAAUUCUCCCUUAGUGAGAACAGCACUCAGUAGGUGCUGUGUGUGUUUGUGUUCAAUUAAGAAAUUCCAGAAUAAAUAAAAAUGAAUUAAUUCAACAAACAUUUUCUGGAGCACCGACAAUCUGCCCAGUUCACCAGGCUAGGUAUCUGAUACAAAGAUAAUGAAAACAGUCUCUUGGAACCUAAUUGGGGUCCUCAUUUGACCAGGACUUUCUUUCGUCCCCUUUUAAGCUAACCAGUUUUGUCCGGACAAGACAAAAACAACUUGGGCUGCUUUAGAGAAGCCCAGCUCAGUGUAGACAAUAGCUGCCCAGCCUCUGAAAGGGGCUGAUUGGAUUAUGUGGCAAAUGGAGGUGCAAGGAUGACUUGGACGGUGACAAAUGAAGUGGGCGGAGACCUGCUUUGAGUUAAUCCAGGCUAUUAGGAGGGGACCUUUUGUCUUCCAGAGACUGGCAGGAGCUUUUACCAGUGGUUUUUACAUCCUUAAUGUUCAGGACGAAUAAUUUAUGGUCAGUGAAAAUCCAGGCCCCAGUGAGAUUCGAGUGGGCUGUAAAAUCGAGAGUCCCGCUCCCAGUGAGUAAUAGUAGUGAAUGUUUCUGUCACUUUUUGCAACUGUCCAUUCAUUUGAUCCUCACAACUCCCUGUCCUGAGCCAGGGCCGGCCCCUGUCACUCCUAGGGAAACAGAGGCUGUCAAGAGGCUCUACAGGUUAGGCCCCACUGGAUCAUUGAAUCCCUGUUCCCUGAGUUCUAGAGGAAGAAUUGUACCUGUCUCAGUCCCGGCCAUCUCCAGAAAGCCUCCUUCUGCAUUUCUGACUUUGCUCUGCCCGCAGCCUGGAGCCUCCCAGGUCCUUGCUGUCAGCUUUUCUAGCCACUACAGUCUCUGUCUUUCCUUUCACAGCCAAGCUUCUUGAAAGGCCUGUCUACACUUGCUGUCUUCCUUCCUCACCUCCAAUUUCCUCUUCAACCCACUGCUUCCUGACUCGCUCUACUCCGUGGAAGGGCACUCACAAAGGUAAAGACUUUUCUGUAGCUUAAUCCUUGUCAUGUUUUCGGCUCAUGGACACAAGGACACAUUUUCAUGCCUUCUCUCACAGGGCUCUGGGGCUCCGGUUCACUUCUGUGUGUUUACACUCCCCUUCACAGAGACACCUGCUCCCCCCUCCUCUCAUUCUUAGCAUCCCCUAGGAACUCUUACCAUGCCAUCUUAAGCAGUCAGGAGUCGCUGCCUGGGUUCGAGUCCUAGUUAAAUUACUUAGUGCUGAGACCUUGGGGUAGGUCAACUUUUCCAAGCCAGGUUUAUCUCAGUUUCAAAAUAGGGUUAAUCAUGUUUAUCUGGCAGGUCAGGUGGGAUGUCUCACAGGUAAGCACCAGAUGCUAUUUGAAGGGCUUGAAGCAAAGUCAAUAAAGCAUUCAUGGGAAAAUACAACUGGAGGCACCACUAGAUUUUCGUAUACAUUAGGUUCCCACGGGGAGGACCAAAGAGAGGAGAAAGAAGUGGAAAGGGAGGGGCGUGCAGGAGAGACGGGAGAAGAGAAUAACUAAACAAAGGCAUUAAAGACAAAAAAAAAAAGUAGGAAAGGGAGACUUAGAAAAUAUUAAAAGCCACCUAAAACACAUCCAAAGACGGUUUCCCCUUAUGUUAGUUGGGCUAAAAGAAAGCAAAUGGGAAGAAGGUUUUAAAUUGAUUAUCCCAAUGACAAAUCCCAGGAAGCUUUCACAUCAAAUCACCCUAUUUUGGGUUUUUAACUCCUUCCAUCGGGUUUAACCUCUUUACCUCCCACAUCCUGGUAAACCCUGCCCCCUCCCUACCGCCCCCUUUGCUGGUGAUUAAAUCCUGAAGGUAUACGAAGUAUUUCAGUGAAUGAACGGCUAACAGAAAAGGGCUUCCCCUCCCCCUUACCCUGGCGGUGUUUUUCAGUUUUAUUCCACUUUCCGCCCUUUUCUCUUAAUGAACACAGGGCUAAUCUAGGGCCUUGUCGAAGGAAGAGGCUGCAGACGUUAAUGAGGUUAGCUGCUGGAUUCCAAUAUUCGUCGCAUAAGGAGCCUUCUUUGUCUGCGAAGGAAAAACACACUGAUUAUCAUAAUGAGGUGAACUGGCCACCACUGGGCUGGGGCAAUGUGGCUUCUUAAGCCACACUUCUAAUUUUGGUGAUGGAGCCGACAUUUCUUUUGCUCCUCAUUUAAGUCUUUGCCUCUGUCCCAGUGCGAAGUCCAUUCAGCGGGGUUGAAAGUUGCAGGCAGCUUUGGGAAGGGGGGCUUUGGACAGGGUUGCAUUGUAGAAAGUGGCUUUGUUCGAUCCUUCGCACAGAUGCAAAUGGCCAGAGCAUUCAUUCCCUUUCUCCAAGAGCUGAGGACUGCGGGGGCCACUGGUGAUCAGUUCCCAACUCUAGCUCUCCUCUGACUCGUCUCAGGACCCACUGAGGACAUCCAAAACUCACUCAAGAUUACCAAGUGGUAGGAAAGUACUAACUCCUAGGCAUAGCCCUAGGGGAGCGACUACAAUGUGAAUACUCAUGGAAUGCCUAGCCAGGUGAAGAAGUGAAUGCAUGUUGGCAUCCCAGAGGGCCCCCCAUAAGAGGGCAUAGUUUGGGGUUCAGAUUUGACUCCAGCAUACUGUUGAAAUUGGGGCACAGGGGGCUAGUGAUUAGUCAGGAUCAAUCAGUGGAGAGGAGAUUAAAACUCACAUCUGGGAAUCAGGAAUCAGAACUUGUAGUUCUUUUUUUUGUUUUUUUGAAAUGGAGUCUCGCUCUGUCGCCCAGGCUGGAGUGCAGUGGCGUGAUCUCGGCUCACUGCAACCUCUGCCUCUUGGGUUCACCAAUUCUCCCACCUCAGCCUCCUGAGUAGCUGGGAUUACAGGCGCCCGCCACCACAGCCGGCUAAUUUUUGUAUUUUUAGGAGAGACGGGGUUUCACCAUGUUGGUCAGGCUGGUCUUGAACUCCUGACCUUGUGAUCCACCUGCCUUAGCCUCCCAAAGUGCUGGCAUUACGGGCGUGAGCCACCAUCCCCGGCCCUAUAAUAAUUCUUCUUUUGCCCCUUAAUAUCCUCACCCACAUGUCCUGUACCCUGCCUGAACCCUCCUCCUCUUUUUGUUCUGAUCUUUGAGCUCCCUAGAGCCCAUAAUUCUUUAGAGCAGGUGUGUCCCAAGUCUGAAACAUGCCCUUAUUUGUCCCAAGCUCUGGACACUUCUCACCCCAAGGCGGAUCAAUCAUGAUUAAAUCACUCCAAUUAAACUUUAGGCUCCAGUCGGACCUUCAGCCAAAUGGAAAAAAAACUAGGGGAUAAGGGAGGUAGUUGGAGCAAGAAAAUGUUGUUAGUUGAAACCUUAUGGGACCUUCCUCCCUUAGUGAGUCUGUUGGCUAAAGGUUCUCUGGCUUCGUGAAUUAGAAUUGGAUACUGUUUCCAAGUUAGCAAAACCAACUCUACCCCAGCACCCCACGAGAAAGAAUGUGGAAGAGAUCUCCCAUUGGCCGGUUGGGGCAAAAGCCUGAGGCAAUCUUUCAUCCCCUUUUGCCCAGGCGAGACUUUCCCAGUGAUGGUGAUGUAGUUGGCCACUCUGUCUAGGGGAGCGUUGAGACUACGGGUGGACUCGGGUAUAGACCUGAGGCUGAGAUCACACGAAAACCUGGCCUCCCCACCAUGUAGCUGUUGGAGAGUAGAAAAAUAGAGCAGGCCUGAUGUUUCUAAAUGAGAAGAUGUUCUUCAAUAUUAAUGAAGAAUCCAUGGCACUCUCCUCACCCUCAAACACAUGGCAGCCAUUAACAUACAGGUCCCAAAGCCACUGUUAGUACUGUAGGAGCUCCUGUGGACAUUGGAAAGCCUGGAGAGGGCGUGGAGGAAAUCAGUUGGCCCCCGGCAGGUUCUCUGGAGUUUUGUGCCCAAGGCUCCUGGAGCCCUCACAAACUUUUAAAAGUUAACUCCCCACGUCCCCAUCCUGCUUGGGUUUCUGGACUUUCCUGAGGCGCCGGCAGAGGGGUCUCAUUGCUCCCUUGAGUGUAGGGGCAGCCCUUUAACCUGACUCCUUGAGUCCCUGCUUUUUCUGCUUCUGUUGCCUUCUUCCUCGUCUUCCUCUCUCCAAUACCUCCCUCUCUUUGUCCCUCCCCAAUUCCUGAGCUCGCCCUCCUGGGGUGCCCUUGGCCAGCCCCAUGUCUCCUCAGGGUGUCCCAGCACCAGCCUGGCACAGAGUGGGGCUCAGUUAGAGUAUGUGGGAUGUUGGUUUCGCCAGGUGAGUGAAUGAAAGGACUCGACCACCACAGCUGAGCCACCAGGUGGGCCAUGCGAAGAGUUCUAGGUGCAAAGGCUGGAGGGUGGAGUUCAUUUUUGAGAGGUGUGUGAGCAGCUUCUGACUCCUGCCCCAUUUGAACGGGGGCCUUGCUGGUCGCGUCCCUGCAUUCACCCGCGCGGCCAUCCCGUCAUCCAACAGUUGAUCCUAACUGAGCACGCCCACGGCCCUGGCUCUGGCCUGGGCACCGGCCACCAUAGCCCGUCCCUUGAUGGCCUCUGUGUCCCCAGGAGGGCGGGCCGGGGGGUUGCCCCAGGGGCUGGAGCAGUGGACUCCGGCUCUAUAGAGGUCAGGCCGGAGGGUGUGAGGGCAGAUUCAAGCCAUCCCCAGGGCUCUGCUCUGGUCGGAGCCAGCCCCUUCUUCCUCUCUGCCUUCCCUGCCCCACUCCUGACGCUGAGCUGUUCUGGACCCCUGGCCCUGCGUCUGUCAGGACCGAAGUGGGCACGGGAACAGCUGUAGUGUGUGCCCCCGGGCUUUGGCCACAGGUCUCCCUCUCGAGGUGUGGUUGUGACUGCGACCCUUCCCUUGCCAUGAUGCCUUCCUCCCCCGGGGCUUGGUCCAGCUCCUUCACUCUCCAGCAGCUGCUGGGGCCCACGUCCCAUGCCGAGGACCAGCAGGGGAAACCUCCAGGGAGCAUCUGCAGGCUCUGCUUCUUCCCGGCUGCUGGCUGGCUCUCCCUGGUGGCCAGCUUCCUCACCCACCCGGCACUCCGCUUGCUCUGUCUCCUGAGGUGGGCCUCACCCACCUGCCCUUCUCUGCCUCAAUCCCUGGGCUCCAGGGCUCAGCUCCACAGCCCUCUGCCUAGCAGGCUGGUUCUCCCUGCCAAGCCCAUACCUGUGGUCACCUGGCCCUCCUGCGGUCUGAGUACCACUCUCCUGCCCCAGGAGCCACUCCCACUCCAGCUGCCUGUUUCCAGCAGGUUCCCAGUGCCCCCGACAAGCCCCUGCUGGUGUCUCCAUCUCCUGCCAAGCAUCCUGCAAUGCCGCCUCCUGUGGGCCUGGCCUCAGGGCUAUGGACAGACCCCUGUCCCAUCCCAGAGACCCCUCGUGAUCGUGCCCUGGCACGUGGGCCGCGGCCCAGCUGGGUCGGCUGAAGAACUGCGGAUGGAAGCUGUGGAAGAGGCCCUGAUGGGGCCCACCAUCCCGGACCCGAGUCUUCUUCCUGGAGGGCCUCUCGUCUCCUUCCUGUUUUGGGCGGAAGCCAUCACCUGGAUUCCUACGUGGGAAGGGACCUCGAAUGUGCGACCCCAGCCCCUCUCCAGCUCGAAAUCGGCAGACUAGGAUGGAAGUGCCCUGCGAGCUGGGGGGCCCUUCAAAGGGCCAAGGAGAAAACGCAGGCCGAGGGACCAGCCUUCCAAAUGGGCUUCAAGCUCCAAUGACCUCCGCUCACCCCCUCGAAAUGUCUGGAAAACAUAAUGGGCAGAUUUUCUGUCUUCAAAGUUUCCGGCUAAACCUCUUCAAGUUCUUUAUUGUUUGGGACUGAGACACUCAGCCAUGCCUCCACAGCCACGGGGACGCCCUGCACCUAUUCCCACGGGACAGGCUGGACCCAGAGACUCUGGACCCGGGGCCUCCCCUUGAGUAGAGACCCGCCCUCUGACUGAUGGACGCCGCUGACCUGGGGUCAGACCCGAGGGCUGGACCCCUGCCCACCCCGCAGGAACCCUGAGGCCUAGGGGAGCUGUUGAGCCUUCAGUGUCUGCAUGUGGGAAGUGGGCUCGUUCACCUACCUCACAGGGCUGUUGUGAGGGGCGCUGUGAUGCGGUUCCAAAGCACAGGGCUUGGCGCACCCCACUGUGCUCUCAAUAAAUGUGUUUCCUGUCUUAACAAAAA